rnacentral:rRNA from 1 species
AAGAUUAAGCCAUGCAUGUCUAAGUAUAAGCAAUUAUACAGCGAAACUGCGAAUGGCUCAUUAUAUAAGUUAUCGUUUAUUUGAUAGUGCCUUACUACUUGGAUAACCGUGGUAAUUCUAGAGCUAAUACAUGCUAAAAAUCCCAACUUCGGAAGGGAUGUAUUUAUUAGAUUAAAAACCAAUGCCCCUCUGGGGCUCUUUGGUGAUUCAUGAUAACUUCUCGAAUCGCACGGCCUUGCGCCGGCGAUGGCUCAUUCAAAUUUCUUCCCUAUCAACUUUCGAUGUUUGGGUAGUGGCCAAACAUGGUUGCAACGGGUAACGGAGGGUUAGGGCUCGACCCCGGAGAAGGAGCCUGAGAAACGGCUACUACAUCCAAGGAAGGCAGCAGGCGCGCAAAUUACCCAAUCCCGAUUCGGGGAGGUAGUGACAAUAAAUACUGAUACAGGGCUCUUUCGGGUCUUGUAAUCGGAAUGAGUACAAUUUAAAUCCCUUAACGAGGAACAAUUGGAGGGCAAGUCUGGUGCCAGCAGCCGCGGUAAUUCCAGCUCCAAUAGCGUAUAUUAAAGUUGUUGUGGUUAAAAAGCUCGUAGUUGAACCUUGGGCCUGGCUGGCCGGUCCGCCUCACCGCGUGUACUGGUCCGGCCGGGUCUUUCCCUCUGUGGAACCCCAUGCCCUUCACUGGGUGUGGCGGGGAAACAGGACUUUUACUUUGAAAAAAUUAGAGUGCUCCAGGCAGGCCUAUGCUCGAAUACAUUAGCAUGGAAUAAUAAAAUAGGACGUGCGGUUCUAUUUUGUUGGUUUCUAGGACCGCCGUAAUGAUUAAUAGGGACAGUCGGGGGCAUCAGUAUUCAAUUGUCAGAGGUGAAAUUCUUGGAUUUAUUGAAGACUAACUACUGCGAAAGCAUUUGCCAAGGAUGUUUUCAUUAAUCAGGAACGAAAGUUAGGGGAUCGAAGACGAUCAGGUAAGCUUGAUCUCGCUCUAUAUUUUUAUUUUAUUCUAACACAUUGCUAACAUAAUUUCUUUUCAGAUACCGUCGUAGUCUUAACCAUAAACUAUGCCGACUAGGGAUCGGACGAUGUUAUUUUUUGACUCGUUCGGCACCUUACGAUAAAUCAAAGUGCUUGGGCUCCAGGGGGAGUAUGGUCGCAAGGCUGAAA